AGAGUUUGAUCAUGGCUCAGGAUGAACGCUAGCGGCAGGCUUAACACAUGCAAGUCGAGGGGUAACGACACUUUCGGGUGGUCGACGACCGGCGCACGGGUGCGUAACGCGUAUGCAACCUACCUAUAACAGGAGGAUAGCCCCGAGAAAUCGGGAUUAAUACUCCAUAGUAAUCGAAUCAGGCAUCUGAAAUGAUUUAAAGUUCCGGCGGUUAUAGAUGGGCAUGCGUGACAUUAGUUAGUUGGUGAGGUAAUGGCUCACCAAGACAUCGAUGUCUAGGGGGUCUGAGAGGAUGAUCCCCCACACUGGUACUGAGACACGGACCAGACUCCUACGGGAGGCAGCAGUGAGGAAUAUUGGUCAAUGGACGCAAGUCUGAACCAGCCAUGCCGCGUGCAGGAUGACGGCCCUAUGGGUUGUAAACUGCUUUUAUUAAGGAAUAAACUCUCGUUCGUGAACGAGACUGAAGGUACUUAAAGAAUAAGCAUCGGCUAACUCCGUGCCAGCAGCCGCGGUAAUACGGAGGAUGCAAGCGUUAUCCGGAUUCAUUGGGUUUAAAGGGUUCGCAGGCGGCGUAUUAAGUCAGUGGUGAAAUCCCCCGGCUCAACCGGGGAACUGCCAUUGAUACUGGUAUGCUAGAGUAUAGUUGGCGUAAGCGGAAUAUUUCAUGUAGCGGUGAAAUGCUUAGAUAUGAAAUAGAACACCGAUCGCGAAGGCAGCUUACGAAGCUAUAACUGACGCUCAGGAAACGAAGCGUGGGGAGCAAACAGGAUUAGAUACCCUGGUAGUCCACGCUGUAAACGAUGAUUACUCGUUGUCGGCGAUACACAGUCGGCGGC
rnacentral:rRNA from 1 species